UACGUAGGAUGCAAGCGUUGUCCGGAAUUAUUGGGCGUAAAGAGCGCGUAGGCGGUCCGAUAAGUCGGCUGUGAAAGUCAGGGGCUCAACCCUUGAAAGCCGGCCGAUACUGUCGGACUAGAGUCCGGAAGAGGCAAGUGGAAUUCCCGGUGUAGCGGUGAAAUGCGCAGAUAUCGGGAGGAACACCAAUGGCGAAGGCAGCUUGCUGGGACGGUACUGACGCUGAGGCGCGAAAGCGUGGGGAGCAAACAGG
rnacentral:rRNA from 1 species